UUCGAGCAGGUGCAGAGGGCAUAUGUCUUCUGUCUUUAGAAAGGACUGGUAUCCACCUGAACCAGAAAAAAAAAAAAGAUGGCAGAUUCAUAUAUUUGAACUCUACCAUUCCUGAAUGCAAAUGUAUAUAAGCAGCUGCCCUCUAGAACUGGCAUGUCAAACUCGCAUAAAUGGCUCAGAAUGUGGGCUUGGGAAAGGAAGAGCUUAUACUGUUCCCAGGCUUAAUGCUUUGCUAUCAAGAAACCAGAAGAAAGGUAUAGCAACAUUCCCUUACAGAAACAAAUCUGCUCUUGGGUGAAGUGUGAGACUGAAUCAGCAACACAUAUUCUGCUAAGCUGUCCAUUAUACUAUACAUGGUACUCUGAACUGAUAUCACUAACAAUUUCUCCAACUGUAUCAUGAAAGUGAAUACAUCUGUCCCUAAUUUUUUCUUUCAGGUCUCCAAUGGUAUAUUUAUUACCACUGUAGCUCAUUCCAUUCACCUUGCUGCUGGUUAUCUUCUCUCUUUCCUUCUACCUCAGUGUUUCUUAACCUUGACAAUUUUAAGGCAAUGCUGGCUGUUGAAUUCCACAUGCCUUAAAAUUGUCAAGGGUGAGAAACACUGUUCUACCUUUUUCAACAUUAAAACUUCUUUAGGAAACUGAAUCAUCACAUAAUGUACGGUAUCUAAAGUAGGAUAAUUUGAGCCUGGUCAUUUGUGCCUCAGUGAGAACUCUGGGUUGAUUUGUUUGAUGGUCCAUCUCUUUGUUCUCUGACCAGAGCAUUCACAAAAGUCUUCACCAAAGCUCAAGUUUGAAAGCAUCAAUCCCCUUCCUAUCCUGUUUCUUCAAAGUUCAAUGCUACUCAGGCACAAUUGCUUCUAAUGAAAUUUAGCUAUAGCUAAGUUCUGGUAAUUCCACGUCAAAAUACAGUUAGCUGCAUUUUCUCUUAAUAGUUUAUUAGAUGUUUGUUGCUUAAUGUUUUGUACAAAAUGUUGUUCUGUAUGACCAUGAAUAAAAUGUGAUCCUUUUUUU